rnacentral:rRNA from 1 species
UACGUAGGGUGCGAGCGUUGUCCGGAAUUACUGGGCGUAAAGAGCUCGUAGGUGGUUUGUCGCGUUGUUCGUGAAAACUCACAACUCAAUUGUGGGCGUGCGGGCGAUACGGGCAGACUGGAGUACUGCAGGGGAGACUGGAAUUCCUGGUGUAGCGGUGGAAUGCGCAGAUAUCAGGAGGAACACCGGUGGCGAAGGCGGGUCUCUGGGCAGUAACUGACGCUGAGGAGCGAAAGCGUGGGUAGCGAACAGG